AACGAACGCUGGCGGCAGGCCUAACACAUGCAAGUCGAACGGGACCUUCGGGUCUAGUGGCGCACGGGUGCGUAACGCGUGGGAAUAUACCCUUGGUGCGGAAUAAUAUUUGGAAACGAAUACUAAUACCGCAUAAUAGCUCCGGCUCAAAGAUUUAUCGCCAAAGGAUUAGCCCGCGUCUGAUUAGGUAGUUGGUGGGGUAAAAGCCUACCAAGCCGACGAUCAGUAGGGGGUCUGAGAGGAUGAUCCCCCACACUGGGACUGAGACACGGCCCAG
rnacentral:rRNA from 1 species